CCAGCUUGCAGGUGGCAGAUAAUGAGACUUCUCAGCCUCCAUAAUCAUAUAAUGAGAAUGAAGACUUUUAUGAUGAGCCACUUCUACUAAAUGAAUAUUAAACGGCAAACUCUCUGCAUGACUGGAGAGGGUAAAGGGCCAGAGGAGCAGUUUUACAAGCACCACAUCUGCCACACACAGGUAGCAAAUACCACUGGAAGGUCCAAGAUCCAGGGGCCCACAUCUGCUAAGGGCUUUCAUGCCGUGUCAUCCCAUGAGGAAAGACAGAGGGAUCCUGUUCUCUGCAAAUGCAAACAGUUCUUUUAUUACAAGGCUUUUUCAAGGGGAAGAGAAAACUCAUUUGGCAGAUAAGGUUAACCUUUUAAAAAAUCAAGUGUGUUAA
rnacentral:lncRNA from 10 species